rnacentral:rRNA from 1 species
UACGUAGGGCGCGAGCGUUGUCCGGAUUUAUUGGGCGUAAAGAGCUCGUAGGUGGUUUGUCGCGUUGUUCGUGAAAACUCACAGCUCAACUGUGGGCGUGCGGGCGAUACGGGCAGACUAGAGUACUGUAGGGGAGACUGGAAUUCCUGGUGUAGCGGUGGAAUGCGCAGAUAUCAGGAGGAACACCGGUGGCGAAGGCGGGUCUCUGGGCAGUAACUGACGCUGAGGAGCGAAAGCGUGGGGAGCGAACAGG